GACGAACGCUGGAGGCGUGCUUAACACAUGCAAGUCGAACGGAGUGGCGAACGGGUGAGUAACACGUGGGUGACCUGCCCUGAACUACGGGAUAAGCAUGGGAAACUGGGGCUAAUAACGGAUAGUGUGGGAUGGGACCGCGGCCUAUCAGCUUGUGGGUGGGGUACUGGCCUACCAAGGCGGCGACGGGUAGCCGGCCUGAGGGGGUGGACGGACAAAUUGGGCCUGAGACACUGCCCCGACUCCUACGGGAGGCAGCAGUGGGGAAUAUUGCACAAUGGGCGGAAGCCUGAUUCAGCGACGCCGCGUGGGGGAUGACGGCCUUCGGGUUGUAAACUCCUUUCACCAUCGACGCUGUAGAUGGAGAAGAAGCACCGGCUAACUACGUGCCAGCAGCCGCGGUAAUUC
rnacentral:rRNA from 1 species